rnacentral:rRNA from 1 species
GACGUAGGGCGCGAGCGUUGUCCGGAUUUAUUGGGCGUAAAGAGCUCGUAGGCGGCUUGUCGCGUCGAAUGUGAAAACCCACGGCUCAACUGUGGGCUUGCAUUCGAUACGGGCAGACUAGAGUGCGGUAGGGGAGAUUGGAAUUCCUGGUGUAGCGGUGGAAUGCGCAGAUAUCAGGAGGAACACCGAUGGCGAAGGCAGAUCUCUGGGCCGUAACUGACGCUGAGGAGCGAAAGCGUGGGGAGCGAACAGG